AUUGUGGGAGCGCAGUUCCUCCUUUCUAUGCUCGCACGCAGCGCGGAGCAUGGCGUCCCCGGGAGCUGGGGCAUGGGAGGCGGUUGUGGCGUGGGAUCUAGGGUGUCUGCAGCGGACUCGGCGGCCGUGUGAGGCGCUCGGCCCGCCGGACCCCGCCUGAAGCGGGUCGGUGUGGAAACCGAGCGCCGUUUGGAUGUAGAUCUUCGCCGUAGGCCCAGAACUGGGCGGGAAUAAAGCGAAGACCCAGGUCACACGGUAGGAUUGAUGGCCCGCUGCCUGACGCCCUAUUCAUGUAGCCUUUGUGUUGCCCGUUCACUUUGGUCGCUAGUGAAUGUGGUGUCAGAAAAGGCAUAAAUAAAUGCUUUGCGGCCUUUGCUUGCCCUGGAGUUCGGUAUCUCGGGUGUAGGAGCUGCAUAAGUUACAGAAAGUUUACUCUAGCCUGUGUGUGCAAGUGAUAUUGCUGUCCAGCCCAGGGAAUGUAGUUUCUUUAACUGGUUCUUCUUCGUUUGGCAGGUGAGUACCUGAAGCUUACGGAUAUUUCCUGAACGACACGUGGGAGCACAGAGUGGGUUAAAGGUAGGAUGACUCCAAAGCACUACGCGAUUUCCUUGUAGGUUGGAAUGCCGAAUCCUUAGUCUUACUGGUUCGCUUGUGUUGCCACUACUUAUCUGAAGUAAUGCAGACUAUGAAGUAACUCAUAAGAGACAGCCUUUACCCAUUGGCUAACUUUUAUGACUGUUUGGGUUUUUUCUUUUUUUUUCCUGACUACGUAGUAUUGAACAGAAGUAGGAAAUGUACAUUUACAUUGGUGGCUUGGAAAAUCUGUUUAGAUCAGUAUUAGCUAGAAAAACUGCCAGACCUCUAAGUCAAAAAAAUUGUGUAGUUUUACCAACACUAAAACUAAAGGCUUUGCUGGGGGUUUAUGUUACCAGAUAACUUUUCUGAGAAAGGCACUUUUAAAGCGUUUUUAUCUUUUCUUUUAGGGUGUCCUUGAUGAUUUGGAAAUUUGAUCUACAGAAGCACGAGUGAUUUAAAUUUUCUAGGGGCCGUGUCAAAACUCCAUAGAUGAAUGCUCAUUUGUAACAAGACUAUGAAUAAAUGCUUCGAUGUGCUGUUCUGACACGUGUA
rnacentral:lncRNA from 1 species